UUUAAUCGUGAAUUAACAUAGACAAAAUAAUUCUGUAAGCCAUAUUAGAAUGUGAUGUAUUGUAAACUAGGCCCGAACUAUAGAAUGCUGUAGAAGAUAAACUUGGGCCGAGAAAUAAUAGAAUAUUGAAAUUUAUACCGAGAUAAUAUAUUCUAGUGUUUCAGGCUUACUACGGGCCUCGGGGGCCUUAAGCUUACCUGGGCCCUAGUGCCGGUCCGGCCCAUGGAGUCGGGUCGUGACAAUUUAUUAUGAAAAUAAAAUUACUUGUCAAUCAAUUUAAAUUUUCUUAUAACAGUUUCAAUUUUAG
rnacentral:lncRNA from 1 species